AAUCAACGCUGGCGGCGUGCCUCAGACAUGCAAGUCGAACGCGAAAGUCCCCUUCGGGGGACGAAGUAGAGUGGCGCACGGGUGAGUAACACGUAGGUAAUCUACCUUCGGAUGGGGAAGUAACAAUCGGAAACGGUUGCUAAUACCGCAUAAUGCAGCGGCACCUAAUGGUGACAGUUGUUAAAGCGGGGGAGUCGAAAGACCUCGCGUCUGAAGAGGAGCCUGCGGCGGAUUAGCAGUUGGUAAGGUAAUGGCUUACCAAGGCGACGAUCCGUAACCGGCCUGAGAGGGCGGUCGGUCACACUGACACUGACAUACGGGUCAGACUCCUACGGGAGGCAGCAGUCGGGAAUUUUGGGCAAUGGGCGAAAGCCUGACCCAGCAACGCCGCGUGAAGGAU
rnacentral:rRNA from 1 species